UAGGCCCUGAAUCAAGACUGGUCGUUUGCUGUUGUAGCUGUUGGUUUUAAACAGGAGCCAAGAGUGAUGUCUUCCUUGUGGUCUGUUGGCUAUUCAGUAACCCAAUAUGAAUGGCUAAUUCAGUUGGAAAAAACAUAG
ensembl:snoRNA